GUUUAGAAUCUGCGACUUUGCUGCGCUGAUGGCUUGGUAUUCUCCGGUUUACUCAAGGUAGUUUAGAAACAAAACGUAACGGUAAAAAGAACACUUUCAAAGCCAAUACAGACAGAAAGUCAGGAAAAGCAGUUGRAAACAUAAAUAUCGCAAAUGGCAACAAGAAAGGCAGGAAAUAAAGGUUUUGUACAAAACGGUUAGAAUUCAAAGAACAACUUGACUUUUUUGUCGCAAAAGGCUUCAUGCAUCUUAGAGAUAUGGAAUUCUCGUUUGAAUUCAGCUCAAAAAGCUCUUAAAUGUUGUUGGUAUUUGAAGCAUUGAAGUCGAAAGU